UUCACAUGACGGGAAACCAAGAUAAAUAUAUACUGUAAAUCGCUUAACACACGUACUCCAUUGUUCUAACUACCUAAUAUUCUGUUUCUACCGAAAGAGUUAAAAGUCCUAUAUGCAUGCCUAUCUGGUCUAUUUAAUAGAGUAAAAAUAACAAGUUAAAAAUAACAUGGACAAGGGGAGCUGACGACGAUGGAGAGGCCAAGGAAGGAUGGACGGGGGAGCGAGACUACGAACGCCUUGGUCCUCUCAUCAGAGCCACAGCGCGCCGGCGUCCUUGAGUAUGGGCACGAGGUCGCCGGAGAUGUGCACGGCCAUGAGCCGGUCGAGGCCGCCGAGGAGCCUGCCCCCGACGAACACGGCCGGGAGGGCAACGUCGCCGCCGCCGUCGACGACCCCGGCAAUAAGCUUCGCCUCGGCGCCGUCGGCGACCUCGUGCACGGCGGGGUUGACCCCGAGACCCUGCAGCAGCCGCUUCACCACGUGGCUGAGGCAGCACCCGCGCUUCCCCACCACGAGCACGGGGCACUCCGCCACCGCCCGUCGCACCUCCUCCCCCCUCGCCGCCGCCUCCGCCCCCGCCGACGGCUGCUGCUGCUGUGCAGCCGCGAGCAGCCUCUCCUCCUCCGCCACCGCCGCCGCGGCCUCGACGCCCAUCGCCGGCGCGGGCCGCGGCCACGGCCGGCCGGCGCUGUACGGGAUGGCCUGGUACAUUACUCCCUCUUCCUCUCCUUCCUGGGGCGCGCGCGAGUUUUUACACGGCGUCCUUGUUCUCGUUUCGGUUGGGAGUUGCGAUUUGUGGCGUCGUGUGAUGGGC
rnacentral:misc_RNA from 1 species